ACUUACUGUAACGACUCUCGGCAACGGAUAUCUCGGCUCUCGCAUCGAUAAAGAACGUAGCGAAAUGCGAUACUUGGUGUGAAUUGCAUAAUCCCGUGAACCAUCGAGUCUUUGAACGCAAGUUGCGCCCUAAGCCGUCAGGCCGAGGGCACGCCUGCCUGGGCGUCACGCAACGUCGCCCCCAGCACCACGUGCUCGGGGCGGAUACUGGCCUCCCGUGCGUGC
rnacentral:rRNA from 1 species